rnacentral:lncRNA from 1 species
AUGGAUUUAAGGGCAUUAAGGGAGUCACAAUGGUUAGUCAGAUAUCCAUGUAGUAUUUAUUUUUGGUCUAUGGGAAAUGAUUUUUUUUUUUUUUCAGCUCACUCAACGGUCUCAUACAGAGCUGGAGGCAUUCAUACAUGCAGUUCCUGUGUUGUCAUUCUGGACUUGCAUAGAGGGGACUGUGGCUUUCAGCUGGAUGUUGUAGAUACAAGGCCACAUUCUGCUUUGGCAUCGCUGCUGAUGUGCUCCCUCCCACUUUCCCAGGCUAAUAAAUGAACAGGCAAACAAACCUAUACAAGCCAUGGUUACUUUCAAGGAAAUCUACUUUAGAUUUGAUUCAUAGAAAAAUGCAAGUGAUGCGUGCCACUGAUUUGGGUCAUCUGCACGCAAUUCAAAAGGAAAAGGUGAUUUUUUUCAUUGCCUGCCAAGUAAGUGGGAGAGGUGUAGGUAAAAGUGGAUUUAUGCAUAAAACGCAAAACUCCAGAUGAAAGAAUGGACCUCUUUUAUCAUCGUAGAAAGAAUCCAUCUGCAAUAAUUACCAGUCAGGCUAUCUGCACCCUAUGUUACUUCAUGACAUCUGAGAACUGCUGCGCUCCCUGAACCAAUAGCCGUUAUAUAGCAACCAGCAUCACUCCUGAAUGAAAAAAUUGGCCCAGCCACUGGUGAAUGGCACUCAGUAGGUUUCCCAUUGAACUGUGCUGCGAAACAAUGAUGCACAUUGGUAAAUCACUCUGUGUGCCUUUCAGUUCUUAUGCAUAUCCCGUACUGGACAGCUUCCAUUCACUCCGGCACCCACUGCAAACAAAUGUAACUAUGCAUCAAAGAUGAAAGUGAAAAUGCGUAUGUUAAAUCCCAAAUGGAAGCACAGGGGUGUAAUAUAUACAUAGUUGCUUAGCAACAAACAUGUUUUGGCCACAGGAACUGUGACAUCAGUCAGAGAAGCGGGAGGGAAGCUGCUCUGCCCUUCUUCUCUUCCUCCCUUCAUAAAG